AGGCGUAGCAUUGGAACUGCUAUGUAGGCUUUUUGUUUACCGAGGGUUCGAAUCCCUCUCUUUCCGUUUCUGUUAAUUCACCAGCAUU
rnacentral:tRNA from 1 species